CUUCCAGUAGCACCUGAGAGACCAACUAAGUUUGUUAUUGGUAUGAGCUUUUGUGUGCAUGCACUCUUUUUUUCUUCUUUUCUAUACUGUUUUCUUCUUACAAACUUAGUUGGUCUCUAAGGCGCUACUGGAAG